GCUGGACCCAAACGUGCACGGUUCUCAGUAAUGUGUACGAGAACAGAAGGGUUCUAACAGGUUCUGAUUCUGGGUCCUGUGGAUAGCAGAUGGUUGAGGGUUGGAUGGUCCUGCAGAAUCGGGUCAGCAUGGGUUCUUGGACCGCCCCUCAGCUCCGUGCAUUAGGAUCCGUUUCUGGGAACGGUCCUCUGUGGACUCUGGAUCUCAGUCAGACCUCCUGGGGAGAUUCUUCAUUAGAAGAACCUCCAGCAUCAUGGCUGCUGCUGUAAUUAUACGGAGUGUCCAGAACCAGGGUCCAGUUCUGUGGCUGACCCUGUGGUGCAAAAACGGGCCUCCGGACUCAAAUCCAGUUAGAAGACGAGAAAAACCAGGCGCUGUCAAGAACACGAUCCGGUUCCUCAGAAAAGAUGAAGGAUCCUGGAUUGGAACAUGAGUUCAGACCAAACUGGGGAGAUGAACUUCUCUGUUCAGUACUAUGCUGCUGUAUUGAAUGGCAAUUCUGUAGACUGGGUCAGAACAUUUGGUUCUUUCAGUCACUAUAACAACAUGGUGGGGUUCUAACGUAUCCCUGAGUGGGUCUGUAGUCAGGGCCAAAGCUGAGAACUGGAUCAGGAAAUAUAUUUGCUGAAAAACUGAACUUAGACGACGUGUCUGAUCCACCAAGAAGAUAAAACCCUGAAUGUGAAGAACCUCCCGGUCUGGACCUCUUAGUCUGGAACUCCUAGUCUGGAUAACCGGGUCUGGACCAACGGGUCAGGACCUCCUGGUCUGGACCUCCCAGUAUGGAUCACCGGGUCUUGAACUCCUAGUCUGGAUCUCCUUGACCUCCUUGAACUCCUAGUCUGGACUACCAGGUCUGGACCUCCGGGUCUGGAACUCCUAGUUCUGACCUCUGGGUUUGGACCAUCGGGUCAAGACCUCCUGCACUGGACCUCCUAGUCCUGACUACCGGGUCUGGACCUUCUACUCUGGACUACCAGUUCUGGACCUCUAGGUCAGGACCUUCUGGUCUGGUUCUCCGGGUCUAAACCUUCUGGUCUGGUUCCUUGGGUCUGGACCUCCUAGUCUGGACUACUGGGUCUGGACCUCCGGGUCUUGAACUCCUAGUCUUAACCUCCCAGUCUGGAUCACCGGAUCUGGAACUCGUAGGCUGAACUUCCGGGUCUGGAGCACCAGGUCUGGACUACCAGGUCUUGACCUCCGGGUCUGGAACUCCUAGGCUGGACUUCCGGGUCCGGCCACCGGGUCUGGACCUCCGGUUCUUCAACUCCUAGUCUGGACCUCUGGGUCUGGAACUCGUCGGCUGAACUUCCGGGUCUGAACCAUUGGGUCAGGACCUCCUGGUCAGGAACUCCGGCUCUGGACCUCUGGGUCUGGACCUCCCAGACGGACCACCGGGUCUGGACCUCCGGGUCUUGAAGUCCUAGUCUGGACCUCCAAGUCCUGAUCACCGCGUCUGGACCUCCUAGUCUGGAACUCCUAGUCUGGACCUCCGGGUCUGGACCAUCGGAUCAAGACCUCCUAGUCUGGACUUCCUAGUCCUGACUACCGGGUCUGGACCUUCUAGUCUGGACCGACGGGUCUGGAUCUCCGGGUCAGGACCUCCAAGUCUAGACUUCCUGUUCCUGUUUUCCAGGUCUAAACCUCUUGGUCUGGUUCCCCGGGUCUGGACCUCCGGGUCUGAAACUUCUAGGCUGAACUUCGGGGUCUGGACCAUUGGGUCAGGACCUCCUGGUCUGGUUCUCCGGGUCUGGACCUCCAGGUCUAGAACUCCUAGUCUGGACAUUCGGGUCUGGCCCUCUGGGUCAGGACCUCCAUGGCUAGAUAUCCUAGCCUGGUUCUCCAGGUCUAGACCUCUUGGCCUGGUUCUCCAGGUCUGAACCUCUGGGUCUGGAACUCCUAGACUGCACUUCCGGGUCUGGACCAUUGGGUCAGGACCCCCUGGUCAGGACCUCCGGGUCUGGACCUCAUGGUCUGGACCUCCUAGUCUGGACUACCAGGUCUGGACCUCCUAGUCUGGACUACCAGGUCUUGACCUCCGUGUCUGGAACUCCUAGGCUGGACUUCCGGGUCCGGCCACCGGGUCUGGACCUCCGGUCCUUGAACUCCAGACGGACAUCCGGUUCUGGACCUUUAGGUCAGGACCUCCAUGGCUAGACAUCCUAGCCUGGUUCUCCAAGUCUAGACCUCUUGGUCUGGUCCACCGGGUCUGGACUUCCAGGUCUGGUCCUCCUGGUCUGGACCUCCUGGUCUGGACCUGCUAGUCUGGACCUCCUCUGACGUUCCUGUUUCACCCCCAAAACUCAAGCUAGUUCUCAGGUUUCCCUGAACCAUGACCUCUGUGUCUGUAUGGACCUCCACAGAACCCAUCUGUGGCCCUGCAAACAAUGGUCUCCUCCACAUCCGCCACCAUGAUUCCUUCUACUGGAUUGAAGGUUCUCUAAGACCUGGAACCACCUGCUCCUGCGGCUAAAUAACCGAGGAUUGAGCAUGGGGGCGGAUCUGGAGGACCGGGUACAAACAUCUGCCCAUGUUAGAGAACCAAGCAGAACCGAGUGUUUGUAGGUAAUAUUACAACAAAGCAGACAGGAGAUCUGUGGUGGCUCCUUCACAAAAAACUGAAACCGAGAGAGGAGAACAUGAGAGAGCCUGACAGAAGAACAGGAGAGAACAUGACAGAAGAACAGGGGAGAAGAGGAGAGAACAUGACAAAAGAACCGGAGAGAAAGUGAAAAAGGAACAGUAGAGAACAUGACAGAAGAACAUGAGAGAACAUGACGGAAGAACGGGAGAGAACAGGGGCAAACAUGACAGAAGAACAUGAGAGAACAUGACAGAAGAAAAGGAGAGUACAUGACAGAAUAAUGGGAGAAAACAGGGGAGAACAUGACAGAAGAACAGGAUAGAACAUGACAGAAGAACAGGAGAGAACAUGACAAAGGAACAUUAGAGAACAUGACAGAAGAACAGGAAAGAACAGGGGAGAACAUGACAGAAGAACGGGAGAGAACAGGGGAGAACAUGACAAAAGAACAGGAGAGAACAGGAGAGAACAUGACAGAAGAACAGGCGAUAACAUGAUGGAAGAACGGGAGAGAACAGGGGAGAAAAUGAUAAAAGAACAUGAGAGAACAUGACAAAAGAACAGGAAAGAACAGGGGAGAACAUGACAAAAGAACGGGAGAGAACAGGGGAGAACAUGACAGAAGAACAGGAGAGAACAGGAGAGAACAUGACAGAAGAACAUGAGAAAACAUGACAGAAGAACGGGAGAGAACAUUAGAGAACAUGACAGAAGAACAGGAGAGAACAGGGGAGAACAUGACAGAAGAACAUGAGAAAACAUGACAGAAGAUCGGGAGAGAACAUGACAGAAGAACAUGAUAGAAGAACAGGAGAGAACAGGGGAGAACAUGACAGAAGAACGGGAGAGAGCAGGGGAGAACAUGACAGAAGAACAGAAGGGAACAUGACAGAAGAACGGGAGAGAACAGGGGAGAACAGGACAUAAGAACAUGAGAGAACAUGACACAAGAACAGAAGGGAACAGAGGAGAACAUGACAGAAGAACAUGAGAGAACAUGACAGAAGAACAGGAGAGAACAGGGGAGAACAGAAGAGAACAUGACAAAAGAACAUGAGAAAACAUGACAGAAGAACGGGAGAGAACAUUAGAGAACAUGACAGAAGGACAGGAGAGAACAGGGGGAGAACAUGACAGAAGAACACGAGAAAGAAUGACAGAAGAACGGGAGAGAACAGGGGAGAACAUGACAGAAGAACAGGAGAGAACAGGGGAGAACAGAAGAGAACAUGACAAAAGAACAUGAGAAAACAUGACAGAAGAACGGGAGAGAACAUUAGAGAACAUGACAGAAGGACAGGAGAGAACAGGGGGAGAACAUGACAGAAGAACACGAGAAAGAAUGACAGAAGAUCGGGAGAGAACAUUAGAGAACAUGACAGAAGAACAGGAGAGAACAGGGGAGAACAUGACAGAAGAACAUGAGAGAACAUGACAGAAGAACGGGAGAGAACAGGGGAUACCUUGACAGAAGAACAGAAAAGAACAUGACAGAACAACAUGAGAGAACGUGACAGAAGAACGGGAGAGAACAGGGGAGAAAAUGAUAGAAGAACAUGAGAGAACAUGACAGAAGAACAGGAAAGAACAGGGGAGAACAUGACAGAAGAACGGGAGAGAACAGGGGAGAACAUGACAGAAGAACAGGAGAGAACAGAAGAGAACAUGACAGAAGAACAGGCGAUAACAUGACGGAAGAACGGGAUAGAACAGGGGAGAAAAUGAUAGAACAUGAGAGAACAUGACAGAAGAACAGGAAAGAACAGGGGAGAACACGACAGAAGAACGGGAGAGAACAGGGGAGAACAUGACAGAAGAACAGGGGAGAACAGAAGAGAACAUGACAGAAGAACAGGCGAUAACAUGACAGAAGAACAGGAGAGAACAGGAGAGAACAUGACAGAAGAACAUGAGAAAACAUGACAGAAGAACGGGAAAUAACAUUAGAGAACAUGACAGAAGAACAGGAGAGAACAGGGGAGAACAUGACAGAAGAUUUUGAUUUUUACAAAAACUUUAAUAAUCACAUUAAUUUAAAGACACACUGUACGUUAAAAGAAAGAUAAUAAGACCUAAAAAAAAGUACCCCAUUG